GUGGGGAAUAUUGGACAAUGGGCGCAAGCCUGAUCCAGCCAUGCCGCGUGAGUGAUGAAGGCCUUAGGGUUGUAAAGCUCUUUUGUCCGGGAAGAUAAUGACUGUACCGGAAGAAUAAGCCCCGGCUAACUUCGUGCCAGCAGCCGCGGUAAUACGAAGGGGGCUAGCGUUGUUCGGAAUCACUGGGCGUAAAGAGCACGUAGGCGGACCCUUAAGUCAGGGGUGAAAGCCUGGAGCUCAACUCCAGAACUGCCUUUGAUACUGAUGGUCUCGAGUAUGGGAGAGGGUGGUGGAACUGCGAGUGUAGAGGUGAAAUUCGUAGAUAUUCGCAAGAACACCGGUGGCGAAGGCGGCCAACUGGUCCAUUACUGACGCUGAGGUGCGAAAGCGUGGGGAGCAAACAGGAUUAGAAACCCCAGUAGUCC
rnacentral:rRNA from 1 species